rnacentral:piRNA from 1 species
UCCGGUUGAACUAAGGAGCAAUGACAUCCC